CAAAGAUAAUUUACAUGAACGAAUGAAAUGUGUAUUGUCAUAAACCAUACAACCAUCUUUCCCUUACUCUAGGUGCGGCGUUGAUGCUGGUAACAGUGGUGGGGAUCCCGGCACACAGCCAGCAGGCAUCGGCAGCAUCCUUCCGCCUGGUCACCGCUUACACGUUAAACCGAACUGAUGACUCCACUCAAACAUUUCUCAGAGUGGGGACCUCUCCCUCCACCCGGUCCCUUACCUUGGCUCUGCAGACUGACCUGACUAACUGUGGAUGCAAUGUCACCGGGAAUUACUCAGGUCGCGUCCUCCAGGUGACAGGUGGCUACACAGGUGAUGCGCUCAAAGUCGUGGCGCAGAGGUACCAGCAUGUGGGGGGCGUUGGAUCAGCUGAGGAGUUGGUGAGCGUAGCGUGGCACCCCGAGAAAGAGGGUAAGUGAGGCAGUGCAGCGGAGUCUGGAGGGUCAGUGUUGGUGUGGCAGUAGUGGUGUGAGGGUGCGUCGCUGUGAGCUCUGCCUGGCUGUGACUGGGCCGCUCCAGCCGGGGGUUGCCAGGAUGGGUGGACGGACGGUCAUUGCCAGCGUGCUGGCGGCCAUGCUUGGUGUGCUCAUGAUGGGUGUGCUCUCCCCUAACGCCACGGCCUCCAUCUUCCCCGCCGUUAACACCGCCGCAUCCAGCUAAGGUGCAGUAAAGGUCACGCCAGGACACAGCCACGAGGACUGUCAGGUCAGGGAGAGAUACAGCAUUCCAUUCCUCUCCAUUCUUGACAGCAGUGGAAAGGUCACCAAUAU